UACGUAGGGACCAAGCGUUGUCCGGAAUCAUUGGCGUAAAGAGCGUGUAGGCGGCUUGUUAAGUCUUGCGUGAAAUCUCGGGGCUCAACCCCGAGCGGUCGUGAGAAACUGGCAGGCUAGAGUGCGGGAGAGGAGAGUGGAAUUCCUGGUGUAGCGGUGAAAUGCGCAGAUAUCAGGAAGAACACCCGUGGCGAAGGCGGCUCUCUGGAACGCAACUGACGCUGAGACGCGAAAGCGUGGGGAGCAAACAGG
rnacentral:rRNA from 1 species